UGUAUUACUUUCAAGUAUAGUUUAGCAUAGUUGGAGAGAAAGCUCAGAAAGAGAAAAGCUGACAGAGAGCAGAUCAGCUUGAGAGGGAGAUGGUUUAUGUUUGAGUUUGGGGGGUUUUUUUCAACAAAUGAAGCUGGUAUUUCCCACCUGCCUAAGGAGUGCCCACAGCAGACUGAAUCACUUCACACUUUGCUCUGAAAUAAAUCACAACAGCAAAAGGACAUUGUCUGUGGCAGUAGACAAAGUGCUUAUUAAAAGGCGAGCUUUGCUGUGCAUGCUUAAGGUUGCAACUUCUUUCUUUUCCAGGAAACUCAAGUUUGUUGCUGUAAUCAAGGCUGGUAAAGGGAAGAUCCCCACAAAGUGCUGCUUCCUCAUUCUUCACACACUCACGGUUGGGCAACUUUCUUCAAUGUCAAGUGAAAACUUCCUCCUCCAGUCCAGUAACACUGGACUCACCUUGAGCAGAACAAGGUGAGCCCUCCCCACGUAACACACGUUAGAUCCCUUACGGGAAUGCCCGGCGGUGUGCUUUACUGAAGUGAUUAAGGGUUUUGUUGUCUGCAGACGCCUCCUGAAACACAGCAUGUGUGUACUUUUAUGGCCACUUCGGAUAAAGUUAUUGCUGCAGCUGCUAACUUCAAUGUCAAGAUAAAACUCGCCACGUGACAACCUGAGAAACAGCAAGCUAAGGAGCAAGGAAUUGUUCACUUUCAGGCUCCAGAGUGGCUACAUAUGCUGACGUUUUGUUGCACAAACACACAACGACAACUUUAACUUGAACAGUCGUCUCUUAGUAGUUGUUGUAUUACCUGUAAUUGUUUCUGCAAGAGCCCUACCUGGGUGUGCUUCUGAAUCGGAUUAAGAAAAACUGUGUUUUUCAUGAGAAAGCCUCUUGGUAUGCAUUAUUUCCAGAAACCCUGAUAUUGCCAUUUGCUACCUUAUCGGUGUUUUUUACUCCUCUUAAGCUUAACAUCAGUUUUUUAGAGGACUGAUGUGUCUGUGGCCAUAUUCUGAGCUGCUGAAACAGUGGGAUGUGUUGGAGAACAGAAGAGGACCGAAACCUCCACUUACAACAUCCUGCAGUGUUUUGCUUUUAAGUGAGGACAUUCAGCGUGGAGGACGUGACUCCUUGUUCCCUUAUACAACACGAUCUCCAUCUAGAGAUCCUGCCUGCCAGCAGGAAGACGGCAUGGAACAGAACAGUGAUGCAAACGUAUGCAGAGAACUGGACAAAAAAUAAACCAGCUGCAAACCGCAGAUGAAACCCUGGCCUGUCUAUAUGUUGUAAAACCCGAUGUGCCUCGGCCCCGAGGUUCGUUGCUACAGGAAUAAAGCACCACCACAUGCCUGUUCUACCGUUCAAUGUACGGAGUUCAGUUUGCGCACCGAUGCGUUCGGGAGAAGCGUUCUUUACACAACGCAGGGAAUGAAUACCAUUUGACUGAC